UAGGGCCCCGACGAUAGGGCCCCGACGACAGGGCUCUAUCGUGACGAUAGGAAUGACGACACACUAUCACCAAAUUCCGAUAGGAUCCUGUCGCCACGAUAGAAAUCUCAACCGUCGCGAUAGGAGCCUAUAGCCUCGCCUAUCGUCAGCCUAUCGUCAACGUCAAUCGUCAGCUCUAUCGUCAAUGUGUAUCGGCGUUUCUCUAGGGUUACCGCGCGCUUCUCCGCAACAACAGUUUAUCUGAGGCGGAGAAGGUGGUGAAGCGCAUGGCGGCCGUGUUCGGCCGUAAAAAGCAAUCUGACAGUGUUGAAAGAGCUGUAAAAAGAAUUAGAGGCCAUUCAAGAGCAGCACGUCGAACGCACGAUUGGUGGAGACCCUGCUUCUCGGGUGGACGAGCCCGACCCGCUGCCUGAGGAAAUGCAAAUCACACCCGAGAACCGGCCAGGAGAGAAUGAAAUUCAUUCGGGCCCACUUCCAGGGAAGUCCCUGUAUGCCUCAAGCCCAUAUUACCGCCAUUUGCACCCCAUCGAGGAGGCAGCACGGGACGGGUCGGAUGCUACAGUCUCUAGAAGCUAGUACCACAUUAACAAGUUUGUCGAGUACCGCGAGGCCCAGCAUCUGGCCUACCUACCGAUGCUAAAUCGCACGUUUGUGGAGGAUGAGGCCAGCCCGGUGACCAAUCUCCUUACAAACAAUUAUGUAGAGAAAUGGGUUGCAACGAUGAAAAAGGACGUCUUCCAGAAGGAGUGCAACUUGCGGAGGGGAGAAGUUUUGCGGAAACUCCGCAUCGCCGUCGAUGGGCUUAUUGAGCGCUACAAGUUCCCCCCUGCAAGAAGGCGACCGGGUAUACGAGCGCCACCCAAGGUGCAACGGAAGACCCCAUCAGCGUCAAGGGGCGGCGACCGCGGUGGCCGGGGCAGCGGGGGAGAGGCAGAGGUAGAGGAAGAGGAAACACCACCCAUACUCAGGAUGAAUUCCUUGCACCUGUCGAUGAUCCCUCUCAGGAGUCGGACCAGUGGGGUGGUUUCAUCGAGCAUCCCACCAACACAGUGAAACAACCUGAUACAUCUCCGCAUGUCUACACUUGGACAAUAAAGAAGGUGAACCCCGAGCCCCGUACCGUGGACCCUCCUCCAGUGAUGACCAUACAAGAUGAAACAGGUAGUCUAUCAGUUGACAUGGAAUGUCCUUCAGUAACUCCUCUAGCAGUGGUCACCAUUGAAGAUGAAAGUAUGUUUUCAGUUGUAUUUUGGCAGGCAGCCUUCCUUCCAAAAUCUAGGCUUGUUUGAACUAAUUUUAAAGGGGAAAAACAUUUCUAGACUAAAAAUUU